GCGACCGUGCGGUACCGGAGCAACCGCCCGCAGGUGGUGGCGGUGGACGGGUCGGGUGCGAUCCGGGCGGUGUCGAUCGGGGUCGCCACGGUCACC
rnacentral:tRNA from 1 species